CAUUAUGUUGUGCUUGAGAAGAAAACCCAUGAAGCUGAACAAAAUUGCAGUCAUAACAGACACUGGUGUCACGCAAAUGGCACCCAUGCCAGUGUCACAUAAAAGCAUCCAUUACACUCUUGAAGUGGUUGGCAUUAGGAAGGGCAUCCA